rnacentral:rRNA from 1 species
GCGGACGGGUGAGUAAUGCAUAGGAAUCUGCCCGAUAGUGGGGGAUAACCUGGGGAAACUCAGGCUAAUACCGCAUACGUCCUACGGGAGAAAGGGGGCUUCGGCUCCCGCUAUUGGAUGAGCCUAUGUCGGAUUAGCUGGUUGGUGAGGUAAUGGCUCACCAAGGCAACGAUCCGUAGCUGGUUUGAGAGGAUGAUCAGCCACAUCGGGACUGAGACACGGCCCGAACUCCUACGGGAGGCAGCAGUGGGGAAUAUUGGACAAUGGGCGCAAGCCUGAUCCAGCCAUGCCGCGUGUGUGAAGAAGGCCUUCGGGUUGUAAAGCACUUUCAGCGAGGAAGAACGCCUGUCGGUUAAUACCCGGCAGGAAAGACAUCACUCGCAGAAGAAGCACCGGCUAACUCCGUGCCAGCAGCCGCGGUAAUACGGAGGGUGCAAGCGUUAAUCGGAAUUACUGGGCGUAAAGCGCGCGUAGGUGGCUUGAUAAGCCGGUUGUGAAAGCCCCGGGCUCAACCUGGGAACGGCAUCCGGAACUGUCAGGCUAGAGUGCAGGAGAGGAAGGUAGAAUUCCCGGUGUAGCGGUGAAAUGCGUAGAGAUCGGGAGGAAUACCAGUGGCGAAGGCGGCCUUCUGGACUGACACUGACACUGAGGUGCGAAAGCGUGGGUAGCAAA